UCGGCGAGAGGAGAGGGGAGGAGCUCGGCUGCGGGCUGGGUGUUGAGCCAAAGAACAGGGGAGGCCCUGUUUUCUGAGAAAAGGGAAGAAGAGAGAGAGAAAAAAAAAGUGUUUUAUGUUGAAAGUCCACCGUGGGAGAGAAAGGAAGAGGAAAUAAGAUUUCUUGUUUUUAUUUUAUUUUAUUUUUUAUUUUUUUUUUGUUAGAAGAAAGAAGCAUUAGGCUUCGUCUUCAAUCUUUUUACUUUUUGUAAUCAUUUCUUUUUACGAAAUCAAUUAAUUUUCUUUCAUGCAAUCCAUGUUCUAGGUUCAGUUUAAUUUCUUCUUUUUAUGCAAUGCAUUAAAUUCUCUUUCAUUCAGUCUAUGUUCCAGGCCUCAAUCAAUCCAUGUUCUAGGUUCAGUUUAAUUUUUAUUUUUUAUGCAAUGCAUUAAAUUCUCUUUCAUUCAGUCUAUGUUCCAGGCCUCAAUCUUCCUAAGCACUGUUUUCAUCCACGCCAAAGUUUUUCUUUGAAUAGUUAAAUAUUUUAUUAAAUUUAUAAAUGCUCCUCGAUUCCAAGUAUAUGUCUUUUAGUUAAUUUCAAUUAAAAAAAUAUUCUCCGGUAGACUAGAUCAUCCA
rnacentral:lncRNA from 1 species